UACGUAGGGUGCGAGCGUUGUCCGGAAUUAUUGGGCGUAAAGAGCUCGUAGGCGGUUUGUCACGUCUGCUGUGAAAUCUCGGGGCUUAACCCCGAGCCUGCAGUCGAUACGGGCAGACUUGAGUUCGGUAGGGGAGACUGGAAUUCCUGGUGUAGCGGUGAAAUGCGCAGAUAUCAGGAGGAACACCGGUGGCGAAGGCGGGUCUCUGGGCCGAAACUGACGCUGAGGAGCGAAAGCGUGGGGAGCGAACAGG
rnacentral:rRNA from 1 species